CGGGUGAGUAACGCGUGGAAAACCUGCCGUAUACUGGGGGAUAACACUUAGAAAUAGGUGCUAAUACCGCAUAAGCGCACAGCUUCGCAUGAAGUGGUGUGAAAAACUCUGGUGGUAUACGAUGGUUCCGCGUCUGAUUAGCUUGUUGGUGGGGUAAUGGCUCACCAAGGCGACGAUCAGUAGCCGGCCUGAGAGGGUGAACGGCCACAUUGGGACUGAGACACGGCCCAGACUCCUACGGGAGGCAGCAG
rnacentral:rRNA from 1 species